GCGGCCGCGGCUCCGCCCCGGGUUCCCACCUCCUGAAGGGCGAGAGACAAGCCCGACCUGCUACGGGUUGCUCCUUGAGGGCAGGACAGUUCUUAUGGCUUUAUCUGUUGCUUAAGCACAGAGAGAGGUCUGUGAGGUCAAAACUGUUGUCAUGAUAGCAAGAUGCUUGUCUUUUUCAUUUAUUCUCACAGUGUGCAGAGGCUACAUGAUUUGUGAUGACAUCCUCAUUGUUGUUAAUGAAUGGUGCUAUACUUGAAUUUUCUAAGGUGUCGUUAGCAAUUCUCCUGCCUCAGCCUCCUGUGUAACUGGGACUACAGGGAAGCACCAUUUUCCACAAAACUCUCAAGAAGGACUUGUUGCAACUGGAAAAGCAAUUAAAUGUGAAUCGUGAUCCAGGAGAAAAUAACAACCCACAUAAC
rnacentral:antisense_RNA from 1 species